rnacentral:piRNA from 1 species
UNGGAGCUCUAGGUUGGUUUUCAAACCCCA